CUCCCUUAUUUUUAAAGGUACUCUCUGCUCUAUGAAAAAUUUUUUAAAUAGCCGCAGUACUCUGACUGUGCUAAGGUAGCAUAAUAAUCUGUCUCUUAAUUAGAUUCCUGUAUAAAUGAGAUAACGACACUUUUACUUUUCUGAAAAUUUUAAUAAAAAUUAAUAUUUGUUUUAAAAAAAACAACUUCUCAAGUAGACGAUAAGACCCCGUGAAACUUUAUUUUUAGCUUAUUUUAAAGUUCAGGAUAUAUAAAUAUAAAAAAAAAUUAAGCUGGGGCGGUGUUAAAAAGACUUUUAUAGAGAAAACAAUUUAAAAUUUUUGAUUUAAUAGAUCUUGUAAAUAAAAGAUAAAAUAAGUUACUCUGGGGAUAACAGCACAAUUUUUUUGAAUAGAUCAGAUAGAUAAAAAGGACUUGUGACCUCGAUGUUGAAUUGAAGAGCCGGGAUUGUGUAGAAAAAAUCUUCGGGGGUCUGUUCGACCUUUGAUCCUUC
rnacentral:rRNA from 1 species